UACGGAGGAUGCGAGCGUUAUACGGAUUUAUUGGGUUUAAAGGGUGCGUAGGCGGCUUUUUAAGUCAGCGGUGAAAUUUUGCAGCUUAACUGUAACAGUGCCGUUGAUACUGGGGAGCUAGGAUUUGGUUGCUGUGGGUGGAAUGUGUAGUGUAGCGGUGAAAUGCUUAGAGAUCACACAGAAUAUCGAUUGCGAAGGCAGCUCACAAAGCCAAGAUUGACGCUGAGGCACGAAAGUGUGGGGAUCAAACAGGAUUAGA
rnacentral:rRNA from 1 species